CCUACGGGUGGCAGCAGUGGGGAAUCUUCCGCAAUGGGCGAAAGCCUGACGGAGCAACGCCGCGUGAUCGAAUGAAGGCCUUCGGGUUGUAAAGCUCUGUUGUCAGGGACGAAUAAGCAAUGCGAAUAGUUUUGUGUAUGACGGUACCUGUUUAGAAAGCUCCGGCUAACUACGGGCCAGCAGCCGCGGUAAUACGUAGGGAGCAAGCGUUGUCCGGAAUUACUGGGCGUAAAGGGCGCGGAGGUUGGCGCUUAAGGCCGGUGUGAACACCGCGGGGUCCACCUUGAGCCUGCACUUGAAACUGGGGGUCUUGAGGGCAGGAGAGGAAAGCGGAAUUCCUAGUGUAGCGGUGAAAUGCGUAGAUAUUAGGAGGAACACCAGUGGCGAAGGCGACUUACUGGACUGUACCUGACGCUGAGGCGCGAAAGCGUGGGUAGCGAACGGGAUUAGAUACCCUUGUAGUC
rnacentral:rRNA from 1 species